rnacentral:rRNA from 1 species
CCUACGGGAGGCAGCAGUCGAGAAUCAUUCACAAUGGGGGAAACCCUGAUGGUGCGACGCCGCGUGGGGGAAUGAAGGUCUUCGGAUUGUAAACCCCUGUCAUGUGGGAGCAAAUUAAAAAGAUAGUACCACAAGAGGAAGAGACGGCUAACUCUGUGCCAGCAGCCGCGGUAAUACAGAGGUCUCAAGCGUUGUUCGGAAUCACUGGGCGGAAAGCGUGCGUAGGCUGUUUCGUAAGUCGUGUGUGAAAGGCGCGGGCUCAACCCGCGGACGGCACAUGAGAGUGCGAGACUAGAGUAAUGGAGGGGGAACCGGAAUUCUCGGUGUAGCAGUGAAAUGCGUAGAUAUCGAGAGGAACACUCGUGGCGAAGGCGGGUUCCUGGACAUUAACUGACGCUGAGGCACGAAGGCCAGGGGAGCGAAAGGGAUUAGAUACCCCGGUAGUC